GACGAACGCUGGCGGCGUGCCUAAUACAUGCAAGUCGAGCGAAGUUUUUCUGGUGCUUGCACUAGAAAAACUUAGCGGCGUACGGGUGAGUAACACGUAAAGAACCUGCCUCAUAGACUGGGACAACUAUUGGAAACGAUAGCUAAUACCGGAUAACAGUAUUUCUCGCAUGAGAGAUAUUUAAAAGUUGGUUAUGCUAACACUAUGAGAUGGCUUUGCGGUGCAUUAGCUAGUUGGUGGGGUAAAGGCCCACCAAGGCGACGAUGCAUAGCCGACCUGAGAGGGUGAUCGGCCACACUGGGACUGAGACACGGCCCAGACUCCUACGGGAGGCAGCAGUAGGGAAUCUUCCGCAAUGGGCGAAAGCCUGACGGAGCAACGCCGCGUGAGUGAAGAAGGAUUUCGGUUCGUAAAGCUCUGUUGUUAGGGAAGGAUGGAUAUGUAGUAACUAUACAUGUAAGAGACGGUACCUAACCAGAAAGCCACGGCUAACUACGUG
rnacentral:rRNA from 1 species